rnacentral:rRNA from 15 species
AACUUUUUUAUUGUAAAAUUAAAGCUUUUGUGAAUUGAAACAUCUCAGUAACAAAAGAAUAGAAAUCAAACGAGAUUCCGUAAGUAGUGGCGAAUGAAAGCGGACAAGCCU